UACGUAGGGGGCUAGCGUUGUCCGGAUUUAUUGGGCGUAAAGAGCGUGUAGGCGGCCAUGUAGGUCCGGUGUGAAAACUCGAGGCUUAACCUCGAGAUGUCAUCGGAAACCAUUUGGCUAGAGUCCGGAAGAGGAGAGUGGAAUUCCUGGUGUAGCGGUGAAAUGCGCAGAUAUCAGGAAGAACACCAUGGCGAAAGCAGCUCUCUGGGACGGUACUGACGCUGAGACGCGAAAGCGUGGGGAGCGAACAGG
rnacentral:rRNA from 1 species